rnacentral:rRNA from 1 species
UAAUUGAAGAGUUUGAUCAUGGCUCAGAUUGAACGCUGGCGGCAGGCCUAACACAUGCAAGUCGGGCGGUAACAGGGAGAAGCUUGCUUCUCUGCUGACGAGCGGCGGACGGGUGAGUAAUGUAUGGGGAUCUGCCUGAUGGCGGGGGAUAACUACUGGAAACGGUAGCUA